GCGAANAACCUUACCUGGGCUAAAUCCGGCUUGACCGCUCCUGAAAAGGAGUUUCCUUCGGGGCAGGCUGGAAGGUGCUGCAUGGCUGUCGUCAGCUCGUGCCGUGAGGUGUUGCCUUAAGUGGCGCAACGAGCGCAACCCCUGUGGUUAGUUACCAGCACGUUAUGGUGGGGACUCUAGCCAGACUGCCUACGCAAGUAGUGAGGAAGGUGGGGACGACGUCAAGUCAUCAUGGCCCUUAUGUCCAGGGCUGCACACGUGCUACAAUGGAUGGUACAAUGGGAAGCCACCCGGUGACGGGGAGCAGAUCCAUAAAACCAUUUCCAGUUCGGANUGGAGUUUGCAACUUGACUCCAGAAGNUNGNAUNUAGUUAUCGNGNU
rnacentral:rRNA from 1 species